AUGUCAGGUGAGCAGGNAGCGGCCCAAGAAAUAGCAACAACAACAACAACAACAACAAAAAAAAAAAAUAUCCACGUGAGGAUGUCAGGUGAGCAGGAGUUUAGAGCAGACCGAAGGCUGGACCUCAGCACAGAGAAGUUUCCUAGGCGCCCGGAUGGCCCACACAGAGGAGGGGCUUGCGGCUACAAGAGGCCUGAGGCUGAGCCCUGUGGGCAGAUGAGGCCAGGGAGCAGUCGUCAUGGCCUGACACCAAGUGCCACAUGGGGCCAGGUGGGCAAGAAUCUGCCUACUGACUCACCCAACCAGCCAAUGUUGCCAGCCAGACAUCGGCACCCCCUGCCACCUUGGCUGCAGGAGCAAAGGCAGACUUUCCUACAUGUCCUCAGGCAUCUGUCACUUCCAGAGACCAUCAGUCAGGCUUUGCCAGCAGAGACGCAGUCCUGGACACAGAAGGUAGCGGGGAGGUCAUUGUGAGGCCAAUUGUCCAAAUAUGGCUGCUCAUUCCUCUGAGUCAGCAAAAUAUAUUAACAACAACAACGAAAAAGAUCUGUGGGAGAGAAAAAUUUCCUGCCACAUAUUCUGGCCCCUUGAUGACCCCAAAGGAGUGUCGUGUGUCCUUUGUGGGGGUCAGGAAGGAUGAGAAAGCAGACCCAGCCCUGGUUCUGCGGCCGUUGGCUCAGCAUCACCGCCAGGUGGGUUUCUGUGACUGAACCAUCAUCUCCCCAUGUUGUCUCCACAUCAGAGAAGGACACGGUUCAGGCUGCUUCCACACAUGACUCCACAAGGGGAGCCAUGAAGCCUGUGCUGGGACCUCUGGGGACAGAGCCACACUGGCCUCCCACCUCCCUCCCCCAGAACCAUGGCCAAAACCCCCUCCUGAGGACCAAGACUCCUGCCACCAUCCGGUACCGUCUUGAUCCUUUGGGCCAUAUACACAUACCACACACUACAGUCUGCUGCUCAGUUUUUCUGCCCUA
rnacentral:lncRNA from 1 species